UACGUAGGGUGCAAGCGUUGUCCGGAAUUAUUGGGCGUAAAGAGCUCGUAGGUGGCCUGUCGCGUCGGCUGUGAAAACUCGGGGGCUCAACUCCGAGCUUGCAGUCGAUACGGGCAGGCUAGAGUUCGGCAGGGGGAGACUGGAAUUCCUGGUGUAGCGGUGAAAAUGCGCAGAUAUCAGGAGGAACACCGGUGGCGAAGGCGGGGUCUCUGGGGCCGAUACUGACGCUGAGGAGCGAAAAGCGUGGGGGAGCGAACAGG
rnacentral:rRNA from 1 species